rnacentral:rRNA from 1 species
UACGUAGGGGGCAAGCGUUAUCCGGAUUUACUGGGUGUAAAGGGAGCGUAGACGGCAGAGCAAGUCCGGAGUGAAAGCCCGGGGCCCAACCCCGGGACUGCUCUGGAAACUGUUAAGCUGGAGUGCGGGAGGGGCAGGCGGAAUUCCUGGUGUAGCGGUGAAAUGCGUAGAUAUCAGGAGGAACACCGGCGGCGAAGGCGGCUGUCUGGUCUGCAACUGACGCUGAGGCUCGAAAGCAUGGGUAGCGAACAGG